rnacentral:lncRNA from 1 species
GGUGGUGUGUGCAGGUUGAGCGCAUGGUAUAUUGUGGCGCUAAGUAUGUUGCCCAUGCACAACAUGUGUGCACAAAUUGUUUUCACAAUUUCUCUUUCACACGCGCCGGUUUGAACUACAACGAGUUAAAUUUAAAUUCCAACUUCACUAAUUAUUAGAAUAAAAAUAAAAAUACUUUCUUUAUAAUGUUUCACUCUGAAGA